AAGCCUGGGGAGGAACCGGGUUAGAUACCCUGGUUAGUCCAUGCCGUAAACGUGGGCAUAGGUGGGGGGGACCUUUCCACCGUUUUCCGGUACCCGUAGCUAACGCAUUAAAGUGCCCCGCCUGGGGAGUACGGCCCGCAAGGCUUAAAACUCAAAGGAAUUGACGGGGGCCCGCCCAAGCGGCGAAGCAUGCGGAUAAAUUCGAUGCAACGCGAAGAACCUUACCAAGGCUGACAUGAACCGAAAACACCUGGAAACAGGUGCCCCGCUUGCGGUCGGUUUACAGGUGGUGCAUGGUUGUCGUCAGCUCGUGUCGUGAGAUGUUGGGUUAAGUCCCGCAACGAGCGCAACCCUCGUUCUAUGUUGCCAGCGCGUAAUGGCGGGGACUCAUAGGAGACUGCCGGGGUCAACUCGGAGGAAGGUGGGGACGACGUCAAAUCAUCAUGCCCCUUAUGUCUUGGGCUUCACGCAUGCUACAAUGGCCGGUACAAAGGGUUGCGAUACUGUGAGGUGGAGCUAAUCCCAAAAAGCCGGUCUCAGUUCGGAUUGGGGUCUGCAACUCGACCCCAUGAAGUCGGAGUCGCUAGUAAUCGCAGAUCAGCAACGCUGCGGUGAAUACGUUCCCGGGCCUUGUACACACCGCCCGUCAAGUCACGAAAGUUGGUAACACCCGAAGCCGGUGGCCUAACCCCUUGUGGGAGGGAGCUGUCGAAGGUGGGACUGGCGAUUGGGACUAAGUCGUAACAAGGUAGCCGUACCGGAAGGUGCGGCUGGAUCACCUCCUUUCU
rnacentral:rRNA from 1 species